rnacentral:rRNA from 1 species
UACGUAGGGUGCAAGCGUUAAUCGGAAUACUGGGCGUAAAGCGUGCGCAGGCGGUUUUGUAAGUCUGUCGUGAAAUCCCCGGGCUCAACCUGGGAAUUGCGAUGGAGACUGCAAGGCUAGAAUCUGGCAGAGGGGGGUAGAAUUCCACGUGUAGCAGUGAAAUGCGUAGAGAUGUGGAGGAACACCGAUGGCGAAGGCAGCCCCCUGGGUCAAGAUUGACGCUCAUGCACGAAAGCGUGGGGACAAACGAGG